rnacentral:rRNA from 1 species
UACGGAGGGGGCUAGCGUUGUUCGGAAUUACUGGGCGUAAAGCGCACGUAGGCGGCUUUGUAAGUUAGAGGUGAAAGCCCAGGGCUUAACUCUGGAAUUGCCUUUAAGACUGCAUCGCUAGAAUCGUGGAGAGGUGAGUGGAAUUCCGAGUGUAGAGGUGAAAUUCGUAGAUAUUCGGAAGAACACCAGUGGCGAAGGCGACUCACUGGACACGUAUUGACGCUGAGGCGCGAAAGCGUGGGGAGCAAACAGG